CUUUCUAAGUGACCCUUCAGUACCUUGGUUUCCAAAUUUUUGUACAAGUUAUCUCACCACUAGGCCACACUGAUUGUUCAUCAGAAAGCCUCGGUGUUAUAUUGAAGUUUCCAUCAUGCAUGUAUGAACAAGUUUUGUCGCAUUAUACUGUUUGUAUAAACUACUGUACUUCUCAGCUGCUUGAGAGAUACCCCUGAUGAAGUCUUUUGUAUAAGA